UUUUUUUAAAUGAGAAGCCAUGCCUCUCAUGCUUUUGUCAGAAUAGAGCAGUUUUGCUGCUUAAAGUCAGAUCUGCACCUUUUGCAAUAAAGAAGGAUAAAUCUUUGCCUUAAAGCUGCAGACCAGCUGCCAACCGCACCUUCCGAUGUAUGAAGAUAGAAAUAUGUUAACUAUUGAGCUGUGAAGCCCUUGGAAAUAAUCCACACAAAAGAAUUUCGGAAAUGAAAGCUGUCUUUGCCAUCUUCUGUUUAAUUAACACAGCCAAUAAGGUGCAAGUUCUUGUUGCCCAAUCCCCACCUUCAUCCAAGGAACAGGUCUGAGUAAUCUAUUGAAAGGAGAAAAUUAAUGAUUAGAAGGUAAUACACAGAGGGCUUCCCAGAUAAUGACAAAGUUGUAUGUAGAUAGAGAUAGCAACAAAACUAGAUCUAUGCAUCAAGACUCAAAGCCUUUCUAACUUCUGGAUGGUUUGAUGCAUUCACUGAAGUCUGGCCAACAUGACCUGAGGGUAUUUGCAUUGAUGAGAAGCUUCCAAACAUUCUGCCUCCCUUUCCUUCCUCUAUCCUCAACAAGUCCUGGAACUACCUCUGAAGACAUUUAAGAAGGAAAGCUGCUGCAUUCUGCAUGAGUGAGUUUAGUAACUUCCAUCUUCAACUCUGGAUACUGAGAACUGCUAAGGCCCAGCCUAGAAAUGAUGAACACACAGAUCAUUGUGGCCAGAUCCUCAUCUAAGAAGACUGGAGUCCAGGUUUGCUGUCGUGGAGACCAGAGAAGAAGUAACCAAAGAAAGGAAAAGAAACACUGGAGAAUAAAAGUACAUUUGAAAUGGAAGAAAUCUACAUUUCAAUGAAAAUACUUUUAAGCCAUUUCAGAUGACUGAGUGAAAUAAUUACAAAGUUUGGAAAUAGAGAACAGUAGCUUUGAUAUCUUUUUCUUCUGUGAAGCAAUUAAAAUAAGCAAUUUUUCAAAUACUAAGCAGAAAAUUGCUAAUGGUUGAACCCAAAAGCUUUCAUUUCGUUCUUGGGGUCUUUUUUCUUCUAAAAAAAGACCAAAAAAUAUUAAGGUGGUUUUCUAGAUAGAUUAAUGCAUAAAGCAGUUGUUAGUUGGAUGUCAUAAAAACUACAGCAGCACAGAAUAGCCGAGAUUAAGAGCCAGAUUUAAAUCAUGCAACAGUCCAGUUAAUAUCAAUGUAUAAUUAAGAAAAGCAUCAGAAGUCUGUAAUGGUGAUUUGAUGGAAAAAACCUCUAAUAGGGUUUCUUUUGGAAUUUUCCAUUUCAAUCACUCUUGUAGAUAUUUAAUGGAUUUUCUACCCUGUCUUUGGCAUUCGCGGGAAUUAUCUAAAAGUUAAAAUCAAGCCCUAAAAUGGAACACAGGUAGACAAAUAAGCCCAUCUGGAGAGCAGUCUUUAUAGAAUGACAAUGUGAUCUCACGCUGAAAAUUUAGUACAAAUGUCUUAAAUCUGGUGUGAAAACCCUAUUUGCCAUAUAAUCUUAAGCAAUGUAAUACUAACCCAUUUCCUCACCUUUCUAAUCCUGCUGAAAUUCCCAGCAAUUCAGAAAUACUAAACUAUGGGCUUUUGGCAGGGGCAUCCUCACCAAUGAAUCACAUUUCUCCCCACUUUAGGUAACCAGUGGGCCCAAGCCAUGCUGAAAAAUCUGAUCUUUUCUCCUAGGCUGUGUGUGAACAGCACCGCAUAUGUGUGCAAGUCUCCAAUGACUGGGCAUCCAGCCACAUCUAUGAAAUUGUGGAAUUUGUGCUCAUGCACAGAUGUGCACCAACGCCAUGCCAGGCCUCAGACCAGAGCACUCAGAAUCCUGACGCUUGCGGAAGAAACUGAUGGUUCAAGCAAUAUUCAAGUCAUUCUAUGGUGCUGAUGAUUCUCACAAACCAUGAUACAUUUGAGAGAUAGCAUGAUUAGUACCCAGGGCACAAGACUGGGACUUGGGAUAUGUGGAUGCUAUUCCCAGCUCUGCCCCUACCCUGCUGUAUGCCCAGGGUAAGUCACUUCAUCUCUCUCGGCCUCUGAUUCUCCUCCUACCCUUUGCCUGUCUUAUCUAUUGAGGGUGAGAUUUUGAAAAGUACUGAGUGAGUUAAGAGUCAGUGUGGCUUGUGCUCUUAAUUCAUCCAAGCACGUUUACCUCACUCUGUGUGUUACAUCUAUUGAGAUGGCAAGUUCCUUAGUACAAGGACGUGUUUGACUUUAUACAAUGCCUAGCACAAUGACCAUUCUGAGAUGGGACCUCUAGGUUCUAGUGUAAUACAAAUAUUACUUUUUUUUAAAAAGUAGAUUAUAUUUGGGUAGAAUUUUAUGACAUCUACCAUAAUGACAGCUAAGGAACUUAAUUCUUCAUGCCUAUAUGCAGUACUUUAUUAUUCCAUAACAUGGACUGUUUUGCCAGUAUUUAUUCUGGUGGUGUGUGUACACUACAAUUUUAAAAAAGGGUUAAGAUGUCUCAUAUUAUAGUAUAAUAAUGGAGUUAUACAUUCAAAUUCCUUAUAUUUUAAAAAACAUACAGUAGGAAUAGCUACUCUGAAAAGGCCACUGAUUCAUUUAAUUUGUUAACCUGACUCUGGAAGUUGCCAAUACUUGUGCCUCAUUACUGGUAACACCUAGAUUAAUAGAGUUUAAGGUCUGAAGAGACUAUCAGCUCAUCUAGUCUGACAUGUAUAACACAGACCAGAGAAUUGCAUCAUGACUGGAGCAUAUCCUUCCAGCAAAGCAUCCAAUUUUGAUUUGAAGACUUCAUAAGAUGGAGAAUCCACCACUUCCCUUGGUAGUUUUUUCCCUCACUGGUAAAAAUUUGUGUCUUAUUUCUAAUAUGCAUUUGUCUGGAUAUAAUUCUAGCCAUUGGUUCUUAUUAUGAUUGUCUCCACUAGAUUAAAUACCCCUUAAUACCCAGUAUUUUCUCCCUGAGGAGGCAUGUAUACCUUCCACACUACAUAAUGUAGUAGGAUGAAUUAUGCAAUUCUACUGCACCGAGGAACACAUUUAGUGCUAACCCAAUGCUAGAACAACGUAUGCUCCAAAUGAUGGGAUUUGAUAUCCAUGUAAUUUUUUAAUCUAUACAGUGAUAUAGUACUUAUAUAAAUACGUAACCCUUCCUUGAACACCUCUAAACUACUAUUCUCUUCAAUAGUUUCCCACAGGAGUGAAUCCCAUAGGUUGUUCGCAUGCUGAUAUGGCUUUUUAAACUAUUCUUGUCUAUCCAUUUUAAAUAUAUGCCCUUAUAAUUUCUCAAAUUUCCAGCUGUUUUGAACUUGUAGGACAUUUUGAAGCGAUGUAGCCAAUCAGCGUUCAUCACUAUCAUGUUACAUUGCUCUAUUAACUCUCUUCUUUGUUCAGGACUAGAUCAUUUUAGGCUUAAUUUCUAUACACAUAGAAUAUCAACCCCCCAGCCACAAAGCUCUUUCCUGUAUCGUAUAUGUUGUUUUGGGGCUGCAGGGAUAAAAUGAUCAAAACCGAAAGAGUAUUUGAAGUGUAGAUUCCCAUCAAAAUGUUUGGGCUAAGUCAGUGGAACUAUGCUGAUUUAUUCCUUCUGAGGAUCAGGUCCCAAAAUGCCAUCAAUGUUUUUGAUAUUGUUCAAAUAUGCCAAAGCAGCUUCCUUCCAACCCUUUUUAAUUGAGACUUUGCUGUUGCUUUUCUUGAGACCAAACAGGAAUGUGCAUCCAGUAUGUUUACCGUUAACGCUAAUAGUGGUUUUAAUUCACUUUAUUUGAAGAUAAAUAUUCUGAUAUAUCCUAAAGUUUUCAGCUUGCGAUGCCGCAGUUUUGUUUGAAUGUAAUUCAGAUCUAGCAUCUUAUGUGGUGAGUUCAUUCCAGACAAAUGGUUAAACAAAUCCAGUGUGUCAGAACUUCAGGCAUUGUACUCUGGGGAAAGUCACUGGCAGAAUGCAUACUUUGGAGCAUUUUUCCAUUAUCACAUGGGAUUCUUAGCCCUGAGAUUGUUCUGCUUGAAACACGCAUCUCCUUGGAUAUUGCAUAAUAGAGAGAUCAGAUUUCCAGUACUCUUAGGAAUGAUUUUCACAAGGAUAGGAAGAAACAUAUUUCCCAUUUUGGGAAAUAGAAGAAGCCACUCUCAACAGAAAGAAAAGUUUAAGAUUGCAAAAGAAACAUCAGGUUGGAAUGUUAUGGAAGUUAUAUAUAUCUGUAGCAAUCAAUGUGGUUUGUACAGAAUAUCAGUGUAAGUGGCUAUUGAAUUAAGAGAUGUCUUUCCCCUGUAAUUUACACUACAAAUUCAGUGUAAAAAUUCUGCUGUUUCAUUGGACUAAUUCCAUUACCUUACUGAGUGAUAGAAAUUACAUUUGUUUUCUUUAGGCUCUAAAAUACAGACAUAAUAAACCAAUAGAAAGAAAAGGAAAAAAAAAAGAGCGAUACUGAUGUUUUUUUUUAGGGAUGAGAGAACCCAGAAUAUUUGGGUUAGGAAAUCAGCUGAAUAUUUGUUAUGGAAUUUUGAAGAAAGCCAAACUUUUUGAAGUCUGUGUUCUGGGUUAGACUUCUGUUUGCAGUUCUGAGUUGUGUAAUUAAAAGAAACAUACAGAGAACUCACAUGAAUUUUAGUUUCUGCCAAAAGAUGCAUUGUUCAUGAUUGUUUUACUAAUUUUUGCUUUAACCCAUAAGAUACUAAUAUUUUCCAGUCUGACAGCCAAACUAAUGCUUAGGAAAGGUAUGUAUUUGUGGGUGUACAUACAUGCAUUAUGUCUGCCACAUCUAUCCCCAGUGAGACAAUAUGAGUAGUUGCUCAAAUCUGGUCAUUCUUUGAAGCCAUGCAUUAAAAUCAUCACACUUAUAUAGUACUCAGGUUACUAAAGCAUUGAGAAAGAGUAGAUUUUUCUACGAAAUUGUUAUUUAAUAUCUAUUUGAAGUUUGAAGUAUUUGAAUCUCUCAUUGAAAAUGAAAUUUAUCCCAAAUAAACCAUUUUCACCUGUA